GUGAACGCUGGCGGUAGGCCUAACACAUGCCAGUCGAACGGCAGCACAGUAAGAGCUUGCUCUUACGGGUGGCGAGUGGCGGACGGGUGAGGAAUACAUCGGAAUCUACUUUUUCGUGGGGGAUAACGUAGGGAAACUUACGCUAAUACCGCAUACGACCUACGGGUGAAAGCAGGGGAUCUUCGGACCUUGCGCGAUUGAAUGAGCCGAUGUCGGAUUAGCUAGUUGGCGGGGUAAAGGCCCACCAAGGCGACGAUCCGUAGCUGGUCUGAGAGGAUGAUCAGCCACACUGGAACUGAGACACGGUCCAGACUCCUACGGGAGGCAGCAGUGGGGAAUAUUGGACAAUAGGCGCAAGCCUGAUCCAGCCAUACCGCGUGGGUGAAGAAGGCCUUCGGGUUGUAAAGCCCUUUUGUUGGGAAAGAAAAGCAGCAGGUUAAUACCCCGCUGUUCUGACGGUACCCAAAGAAUAAGCACCGGCUAACUUCGUG
rnacentral:rRNA from 1 species